rnacentral:rRNA from 1 species
GACGAACGCUGGCGGCGUGCCUAAUACAUGCAAGUCGAACGCAGUGGGGACGGGUGAGUAGCACGUGGGUAACCUCCGAUCAGAGGGGAUAAAACUUGGACACAGGUGCUAAACCGAUACUGAUGGAGGAACCCGCGGUGCAUUAGCUAGUUGGUGAGGUAACGGCUCACCAAGGCCACGAUGCAUAGCCGACCUGAGAGGGGGAUCGGCCCAACUGGGACUGAGCCACGGCCCAGACUCCUACGGGAGGCAGCAGUAGGGAAUCUUCGGCAAUGGACGAAAGCCUAACCGAGCAACGCCGCGUUAGUGACGAAGGUUUUCGGUUCGUAAUACUCUGUUGUUAGAUAGGCGGUAUCUAACCAGAAAGGCACGGCUAACUACGUGCCAGCCGCCGCGGUAAUAC